rnacentral:rRNA from 1 species
CUAACGUCCGGCGUCAAGAGGGAAACAACCCAGACCGCCAGCUAAGGUCCCAAAGAUUGGCUAAGUGGAAAACGAAGUGGGAAGGCUAAAACAGUCAGGAUGUUGGCUUAGAAGCAGCCAUCAUUUAAAGAAAGCGUAAUAGCUCACUGAUCGAGUCGUCCUGCGCGGAAGAUGUAACGGGGCUAAGCCAGUCACCGAAGCUGCGGAUAUGCGUAAGCAUAUGGUAGGAGAGCGUUCUGUAAGCCUGCGAAGGUGUCUUGUAAAGGAUGCUGGAGGUAUCAGAAGUGCGAAUGCUGACAUGAGUAGCGAUAAUGGGGGUGAAAAGCCCCCACGCCGUAAGCCCAAGGUUUCCUGUUCAACGUUCAUCGGAGCAGGGUGAGUCGGCCCCUAAGGCGAGGCAGAGAUGCGUAGCUGAUGGGAAGCAGGUUAAUAUUCCUGCACCGUCGUAUGAUGCGAUGGGGGGACGGAUCGCGGAAGGUUGUCUGACUGUUGGAAUAGUCAGUUUCUGCUUCAUAGAAGGCGCUUAGGCAAAUCCGGGCGCGGAAUUCAAGGGAGCGGGACGAGGAACUUAGGUUCUGAAGCAAUCGGAAGUGGUUCCAAGAAAAGCCUCUAAGCUUCAGUCAUACGAGACCGUACCGCAAACCGACACAGGUGGGCGAGAUGAGUAUUCUAAGGCGCUUGAGAGAACUCGGGAGAAGGAACUCGGCAAAUUGGUACCGUAACUUCGGGAAAAGGUACGCCCUUGUAGCUUGGCUGAUUUACUUCAGUAGGGCGAACGGGUUGCAAUAAACUGGUGGCUGCGACUGUUUAAUAAAAACACAGCACUCUGCAAACACGAAAGUGGACGUAUAGGGUGUGACGCCUGCCCGGUGCUGGAAGAUUAAAUGAUGGGGUGCAAGCUCUUGAUUGAAGUCCCAGUAAACGGCGGCCGUAACUAUAACGGUCCUAAGGUAGCGAAAUUCCUUGUCGGGUAAGUUCCGACCUGCACGAAUGGCGUAACGAUGGCCACACUGUCUCCUCCCGAGACUCAGCGAAGUUGAAGUGUUUGUGAUGAUGCAAUCUACCCGCGGCUAGACGGAAAGACCCCAUGAACCUUUACUGUAGCUUUGCAUUGGACUUUGAAUCAAUCUGUGUAGGAUAGGUGGGAGGCUUUGAAGCGGGGACGCCAGUUCUCGUGGAGCCAUCCUUGAAAUACCACCCUGGUUCAUUUGAGGUUCUAACCUUGGCCCGUUAUCCGGGUCGGGGACAGUGCAUGGUAGGCAGUUUGACUGGGGCGGUCUCCUCCUAAAGUGUAACGGAGGAGUUCGAAGGUACGCUAGGUACGGUCGGACAUCGUGCUAAUAGUGCAAUGGCAUAAGCGUGCUUAACUGCGAGACUGACAAGUCGAGCAGGUACGAAAGUAGGACAUAGUGAUCCGGUGGUUCUGUAUGGAAGGGCCAUCGCUCAACGGAUAAAAGGUACUCUGGGGAUAACAGGCUGAUUCCUCCCAAGAGUUCAUAUCGACGGGGGAGUUUGGCACCUCGAUGUCGGCUCAUCACAUCCUGGCUGUUUUAGCCUUCCCACUUCGUUUUCCACUUAGCCAA